UACAGAGGUCUCAAGCGUUGUUCGGAUUCAUUGGGCGUAAAGGGUGCGUAGGCGGCGCGGUAAGUCGGGUGUGAAAUCUCGGGGCUUAACUCCGAAACUGCAUUCGAUACUGCCGUGCUUGAGGACUGGAGAGGAGACUGGAAUUUACGGUGUAGCGGUGAAAUGCGUAGAUAUCGUAAGGAAGACCAGUGGCGAAGGCGGGUCUCGUGGACAGU
rnacentral:rRNA from 1 species